UACGUAGGGUGCGAGCGUUAAUCGGAAUUACUGGGCGUAAAGCGUGCGCAGGCGGUUCGUGAUGUCUGGUGGGAAAGCCCCGGGCUUAACCUGGGAAUUGCAUUGGAAACUAGCGGGCUGGAGUGUGGCAGAGGGGGGUGGAAUUCCACGUGUAGCAGUGAAAUGCGUAGAGAUGUGGAGGAACACCGAUGGCGAAGGCAGCCCCCUGGGCUAACACUGACGCUCAUGCACGAAAGCGUGGGGAGCAAACAGG
rnacentral:rRNA from 1 species